rnacentral:rRNA from 1 species
GAUGAACGCUGGCGGCGUGCCUAAUACAUGCAAGUCGAGCGAACAGAUGAGGAGCUUGCUCCUCUGACGUUAGCGGCGGACGGGUGAGUAACACGUGGAUAACCUACCUAUAAGACUGGGAUAACUUCGGGAAACCGGAGCUAAUACCGGAUAAUAUAUUGAACCGCAUGGUUCAAUAGUGAAAGACGGUUUUGCUGUCACUUAUAGAUGGAUCCGCGCCGCAUUAGCUAGUUGGUAAGGUAACGGCUUACCAAGGCAACGAUGCGUAGCCGACCUGAGAGGGUGAUCGGCCACACUGGAACUGAGACACGGUCCAGACUCCUACGGGAGGCAGCAGUAGGGAAUCUUCCGCAAUGGGCGAAAGCUUGACGGAGCAACGCCGCGUGAGUGAUGAAGGUCUUCGGGUCGUAAAACUCUGUUAUUAGGGAAGAACAAAUGUGUAAGUAACUAUGCACGUCUUGACGGUACCUAAUCAGAAAGCCACGGCUAACUACGUG